GACGAACGCUGGCGGCGUGCCUAAUACAUGCAAGUCGAGCGAGACUCUUCGGAGUCUAGCGGCGGACGGGUGAGUAACACGUGGGCAACCUGUCUGUAAGACUGGGAUAACACCGGGAAACCGGUGCUAAUACCGGAUAAUCCUUUUUCUCUCAUGAGGAAAAGCUGAAAGUCGGUUUCGGCUGACACUUACAGAUGGGCCAGCGGCGCAUUAGCUAGUUGGUGAGGUAACGGCUCACCAAGGCGACGAUGCGUAGCCGACCUGAGAGGGUGAUCGGCCACACUGGGACUGAGACACGGCCCAGACUCCUACGGGAGGCAGCAGUAGGGAAUCUUCCACAAUGGACGAAAGUCUGAUGGAGCAACGCCGCGUGAGCGAUGAAGGCCUUCGGGUCGUAAAGCUCUGUUGUUAGGGAAGAACAAGUAUCGGAGUAACUGCCGGUACCUUGACGGUACCUAACCAGAAAGCCACGGCUAACUACGUGCCAGCCGCCGCCGUAACAC
rnacentral:rRNA from 1 species